CCCCAUAGCUUUACAGAAUCUAUUAGGAUAUAUGGUAGCAGAAUCUAUUAUACCCCAUCCUAUUAGUAAACGGCCCCGUGGUUAUGUUUUGAAGAGAGAGAAUUAGAAACCAACUAAUUGCUUUCAUCAAGAAAACUUAACAGUUUGCAGUGAUCAAGUUGCUGAAAUUGAAGUAGCUGUAUUAGUUAUUACUACCUAUUUUUGGACACACACCAAAAAAUGGGUAUCUCAAACCAUAAAAUGUGUURGUUAUUACUACCGUAUACUUUGUUAUUAACACCGCAAAGUUUUUUUCUUACUUGAUUUCCAUAUUCAAGACUCGAGACUCGAUUCAAGGUGAUCCAUUGCCCGGUCCAGGUAAUCCAUUUUGACUURCACAUCUUUUGUUGUUGACUUACACGUCUUUUGUCAUUUUGACUUACACAUCAGUUUUGUUAGAUUUAGUUUGUCUUCAAGAUUGAUUGCAAAGUUUUGUUCUUUCUUGAUUUCUAGAUUGCAAAGUUUUGUUUGCUCAUUUGCAGAUUGAUCACAUGCUAACAUUUGAAGAAGGUGUUUAAUGAUCUAGAGACGGGUUGGGUUUUGAGAAUUUAAACGAUCCGCUCGCUGUUGGCCRCAAAAAGGUUAGGAUUGUGUUAUUCACUCCCCAAUCUAUGUAUUUCUUCUCGGUUCUUUCUCUUA